ensembl:lncRNA
CCUAGUCUUUUCAUUUCUGCCUCUUUUCCUGGAGGGCCAGGGGAUCUCCCAGUGCUGUCUGUUCUUUUCCUCUGUGUUUUGCAGGCAAGGGAAUCUCAUGCAAGCCUCAGCUCCACAUCCUCUGAAGAGGCAACAUUAAAGUCAGCACUUGACUGCACUGAAUUUUACAGGAUUUUCUCCCAAGUAUGAUAUUGAUAUCUUUUAAGUGAAUGGAGUAAUUGAGGAAUUUUUCUCUAAAUUAUUGACUGGGUGUCUGGAGAAGAGAUGAAUGAGAAAUAUCUUUAUUCCUGCAAAAGGUUUAGGUGCACUGAGCUAAUCUCAUUCCUUCUGAUGUGACCCUUUUUGAGUAUUAUUUAGGAAGAGCCCUUCCAUGCUAUGCCUGUGGGGACACUGCAUAUGCGUGAGGGAGGAAGAAUAGACUAAAUUUUGGUGCUAGGCACCGGAGAAGAGAUUUUCCACGUUUCUAAAUUCUUUUUCUUCUAUUAAAUCAGGAGACAGAAGCCGGAGGAGGGAGCUGAAGAACAGACAUUAUAACCCGACAUCGCCCUGCCUUUCCUUUUGCGGUCUCCUAGCAUUUGGCAAUAAUAUUUAUGCUGUUUUAGGUAGAAAAGUUCGGGGGUGAGCAAAGGGAGGAGAAGCUGCUCAGAGGCAUUGCAUUCAGCAGGAGCUGAGCCCUGGGAGGGCUGGGAGGGCUGGCAGUGCCGCGUCGGCUUGGGGACGUUGUGCCAUGAGUGCACCCAGCGGGAAUGUGUGCUCUGCUUGGAGCAGCUUGGGAAGGCAAAAUGCAUCUCAGCUCACUGCUGGGCUUAUUGUGUAGGCAGCCUGAAUUUGUUCUGGAGGGAAAAAAAGGUAAGGGAAAACAUAUAUAUAGCUCUGCAUUUAUAGAGAAAGGUUAAGAGGAAGGAGAAAGCAGACACUGCAAAGGGUUUUCUUCUUGCAGUAACAUCUCCAGCAUUGUUUGAGUGAAAGAAGGGGACUGAUCUUUCUGGCAAGCAUUGCACUCUCCUGGGUUUCGAUGCUGUGAGAAUUACAAUUCAUCCAGAGUUCAAGCCUUUGGUUAAGACAAUGUCCUCAGGGUUAUGAGUUUUGUUUUUCAGAGUUGGUGACCUGAUUGGAAAAGCAGCUCUCUGGAAAAAUAAUUAUGGGAGACAAAAAAUAAUAAGAAAAAAGAAAGAAAAUACGUGAUGUGCUGUAGAAGUUCCAGCCGCAAACAGAUUUUCAUUCUCUUGUGCGUAAGAAAGCAAAUAAAAAAUGAAAGCAACUACGCAAAAAGAAGAGCAGAAAGCAACAAAUGGAUUAACAGGGAGCAAUCAGCAUCUGCCAAGCAGCGAGAGUACCAAAGCUGCCAUUAGUAUCUCCCCAGUCUAACUGGUUCGAUUUCCUCCUCACCUCUGAAGGACGAUCCUGCACAGCAGCUGUAUCAGCAUAGACACUGCUGGGGGGUUGUUGCCUUCUGCAAGAGUAUUCGGGACCCUCAACCAAAACCUUCUGCCUUCCUGCUAAAUGAUUGAAGAAUAUCUUGUAAAUCAUUUACCUCUCCCUGCUGCUGGCUUUCUGUUGAUAGUGUUUACUCUGCUUCCAACACGAUGGCAAAGUUAAAUUUUCAUCUUGCAGAAAAAAAAUAAAAAGAACAAAAUACGGUGAGCCUUUUUGCUCGUUAUUGCCUGAUCUUUCUGGAGCGAGCUGUUUCUCAAUCCCAUGCAUCACAGAUGUCCUGUCAAGGCUCAUAUACACCCAGUGAAGUAUUUGCAUCCCCGUGCCUGCUGAUAGAGUGAGCAUGUUUGUCUACAAAGUGCUUUUAAAUGAACUAAUACAUGAUUCAUGCGGGCUCCUUUGAGCAGAACACCAAUCUGUCUGGACACAGUUUGCUGUAGGCUUGACAACAGGAGAGUUUCUCUGAGUGAGACGGGUGCAGCGACCUCCUGGCGGGAUGGGUCAGCAUCCAGGUGCCAGCGGGGGACAGACCCCACUUGUCUGCCACAUCCCUCGUGUCGUCUCUCUCCGGUGCCGGUGACACAGACCUCUGCCUGCUCAGUCAUGCUUGUGCAGGAGUGGGUAGUGCACUACCUUUAUCAUCUAUACAGGGAUACAACAAGAUUCUUUGCACUCAAGGAGAGAAAAAAAUUGAUCCCAUGUAUACUGUUUCCUAUUGAACUAAAUAGAUUUUUAAUCGAGUCUCUGCUCCUUUGGGUAAUUGACUUAACAGUGUGGGCAAAUUAAUUUCAGAUAAACCAUCACUGGGAUUUUCCAAGGAGAUUUUCCUGGGGUGCUGGGAGUCAGCCUGGCGCAGCAGCGGUGGGACAAUCAUCUCAGUUCCUCUGGUGCUGCCCAAACGGUUCAACCUAGGACCAAAUUCUGGAGCUUUUAUGUGAGAAAACCUCCCACCAAAGUCAUUGAUUCAGGAAGAAUUUAGGAGGAAGUUUUUCACCCAGAGGGUGGUGACGCACUGAACAGGUUGCCCAAGGAGGCUGUGGAUGCCCCAUCCCUGCAGGCAUUCAAGGCCAGGCUGGAUGUGGCUCUGGGCAGCCUGGUCUGCUGGUUGGUGACCCUUCACAUAGCAGGGGGUUGGAAGUGGAUGAUCACUGUUGUCCUUUUCAAACCAGGCCAUUCUAUGAUUCUUUGAUUCUACGACUCUAUGAUAAGAAUCAGCAGAAAUCGGUUCAAAAAAUUCCCAAGUGCUUGCAAAAGUGUUAUGCACACGUAACCUCUGCCCCUCGUUUAAUAACCUAAUCUAAAUGUCGCUCGGUGCAGCCCAUUAUUGUUCAAAUCUUUCUGUGAUAUUUGGCACAAAUACCUCCUUUUGGAUCUUAUCUGGGCAGAAAAGCUAUUGAAACAAGUUUAUUUUCCGGUGACCCAACCAGAACCCCACUCCAGUGGUGAAAGAUUGGCAAGGAAAAUUAGCAUUGCACUGUGCACCCAAAAUAUUUCCUUCCCUCUGGUCUAAAGCAGAUAGCUCCACUUGUAUUAAAGCCCUUUCCACAAAGUACAUUGGAAAAGUGGGGAACUUAGAGCACUUUUUAAUUCUAUUCAAGUCAUAAACAGGCAGGAAAGAAAAUUACACCGCAGUUUAUGUUCUUGGGGGAUUGCUCCCUUUGGUUUUCCCCAAAUUUGGACUCUCGGCAAGACAAAGGAGUCAGUGCUCUCUUGUCUGGUCUGGCAGCAGUGCUGACCCACAGCAGCGGCCAGGGGUGAUGUGUGCAGACCCCUCAGCUUUUUCAUUGGUGAGACGGAGGCAAUUGUGUACAUUUUCCCUCCUUCCAAUGUCAAACCUAUUAAAUCCUAAAUCAUUUACAUAGGUCACGGUACCUAUACUAACUUACUGAAGUAACACUCCUUCCAAUAUUUUUUAAGGAAAUGAAAACUAUACAAUUUAAGAUUCUGUAGCUGCUUUUCAUUGCUGAAAAAUUAUAUUCUGCAGACUGAAUACAAUAAAAACGCUAUUAAAGAAAGAACGUCUGCUGUAUGGAAAUAUCUUACAUUACAUGAUUUGGUACCCUGCUCAUAACUUCGGUAAUUAAGGAGGAGAUCAACUAGCAAUUAAAAGAAAAAUAUUAAUCGGUUGACCAUUGCGGCCCACAUGAAAUCAAGGAAUGUGCAAAGAGUUUGUAUCAUUUUUGUCUCAUAAAUAAAGGGAUCUACAUUGUAGAAAACUCCUAAUAAAAAUAUCUGUAGUAAUUCCUAGUACAAAGCACAGUAUUUUUUCCCUGUAGAGUUGUUUGCAGAGAUGGUCAAUUGCAGAUAUCUUUGUGAGCUUUUUUUUUUCUCCUAUUCUGGUAUAUCCUGUAAACUUGGCUGCUCUUAUUGGCAUAUGCUGAGUUAUCACCCAGAAGUCUAAACUCCCAUGGACUCGAUUCUGCUGCUGGUGGAAAGGAUGUAGCAGAAAUGGUGCUGGAUGCUGGUUGCACCAUGGUCAAGAUGGUUCAGCUCACACUCAUGGAGGCAGUAGGUGCAGAAUGAAGACAAAGAUUGAAAGAAGUAGAUACACAGCAGAGAAGCAGCCAACAUUGUUCUUUUUGUAGUCCAGACAGGAUCAUGUAUUAGAAGAUUAUUUGCAACAGCAAACAAUAGCCUUCACUGAGAAGAAUUUGGAAAGUCCAUGUAAAAAAAUUAUAUACUUUUUCCAUGCUUUUCCAACAAUAAGGUGGAAAGUCAGAGUAGAUGAAAGAAACAUAUUUCUCUUUGCUUCUCCUCUCCUCAUUUUAUUAUUUGUCUGGUUUCAUCACCUGGGACGCAUGAGCCAGCCUUCCUAGCAGAGUGCUAUGCCAACCCAAAUAUUUUUUCUUUUUCCCAGAGAAGUGUAUUAAUAUGAUAUUUAAUAGUUUCUAGAAAUUGUCAUGUAGGAGGAGGCGGAGUUACCCACAAAACCUCU